rnacentral:rRNA from 1 species
UGAGGAAUAUUGGUCAAUGGGCGAGAGCCUGAACCAGCCAAGUAGCGUGCAGGAUGACGGCCCUAUGGGUUGUAAACUGCUUUUGUAUGGGGAUAAAGUCAAUCACGUGUGAUUGUUUGCAGGUACCAUACGAAUAAGGACCGGCUAAUUCCGUGCCAGCAGCCGCGGUAAUACGGAAGGUCCGGGCGUUAUCCUGAUUUAUUGGGUUUAAAGGGAGCGUAGGCUGGAGAUUAAGUGUGUUGUGAAAUGUAGACGCUCAACGUUUGACUUGCAGCGCAUACUGGUUUCCUUGAGUACGCACAACGUUGGCGGAAUUCGUCGUGUAGCGGUGAAAUGCUUAGAUAUGACGAAGAACUCCGAUUGCGAAGGCAGCUGACGGGAGCGCAACUGACGCUUAAGCUCGAAGGUGCGGGUAUCAAACAGGAUUAGAUACCCUGGUAGUCCGCACAGUAAACGAUGGAUGCCCGCUGUUGGUACCUGGUAUCAGCGGCUAAGCGAAAGCAUUAAGCAUCCCACCUGGGGAGUACGCCGGCAACGGUG